AUGGGCCCGCGCCGCCGGACCCGCAAGCCCGAAGUCCCGAGGAGGCGCACCGUGAGCCCGGCCCCCGGCCCCCCCCGGCGGGGCCCCUUAGGCACUCCCUCCCGUCAGCGUGGUCCCCGGAGAUCCCGGGUUCUGAAGGAGAUCCGAACCCUUCAGAAGAGCACAGCCCUGUUGAUAAGGAAGAGCCCCUUCAGCCGCCUGGCAAGAGAGAUAUGCGUUACAUUCACUCGCGGUGUGGACUUCUCUUGGCAAGCCCAGGCCCUGUUGGCCCUACAAGAGACAGCAUCAAGGAACACCCGGUGUUUGGAGGCCGGAUCCUUGUGUGGUGGUAGCAGAAUUCCCAGGCACAGUCCACCCUCAUUCUGUGGGCAGCGUUUCAGACAGUGCUGGGAGCCCUCAGAGACCAAGGGCAGCGGGGCUCCGAGAACAAAGCAGCCCAUGCCCCGUCGUAUGUCAGUCUUUGGACUUGUCUCUCUGCCCCCAGGCCGCAGAAGCAUUUCUAGUUCAUCUCUUUGAGGACGCCUAUCUUCUGUCCUUACAUGCCGGCCGCGUUACUCUCUUCCCGAAGGAUGUGCAGCUUGCCAGGAGGAUCCGAGGCAUUCAGGAAGGGCUUGGCUGAGCCCCUGCCCCCAUCUCUGGAUGACACCAGAGCCUCUGUCUGGAGCCAGGAACAGAUCCGUGGAGGGUAAGGAGGCGUCUGGACUCACUGUCCCUGAGCAGGGUGCAUGCAGCUUUUGUAAUUGGUUCUUUCAAGGAGAAAACUGUGUGACUUUCCUCUGUAACAGAGGUAAUAUAUGAGAAAAUCAACAGCAUUCCAAAGGACUGAGAAUUCUUUUUAGAUAAUGAGACUCCAAGAUUCGCUUCAGUUUGCAAAUGAUUCACAUGACCGCUGAAUGAUUUUGAAGACAUCAGACUUUCUGGGCUAUGGAAAAAAUGGAUAUUUGCUUAUUAUUUUAGAUCUUCCUGUACCACUUACAUUUUUUGCCAUACGUAUAUUUACUUUUCUUUGAAACAUAAGGGAAAAAAAUAAAAGGCGACCACUUCGUUCAGUUGCACAGAAGAGCCUGGAACAUCUGCCCACAAAUCUGUCCUUCGGUUAAGCUCACCUGAGCGGCAGCAGCAAGUGAGGCAGGGACCGUGCCUGCCAACAACUGUGUAGCUUUUUAAAAAACUCAACUGGGGUUAAAAUAGAAAAUCUUUAAGUCCUGAUGUUCUCGUUCCUUUGAGUAAAUUCCUGUCAAACUCAUUCAGAAAUUUGUAAAUCAUAGACGACAUCAUGAUUUAUACUUUAGAAUUUUUCAUCCCGGGAUUUUAAAGUGCCUUUUCAAAGUUUUUACAGGUGUUUUUAGAACUUCUUUGUGGAGAGAUAAUAAAAAAUAAGAUUAUUUCUUUGAUGAAAAAACUGUAAAGCAAAGUUAGUUACUGCACGUAGACAUGCUACAUUUUUGGUGCGUUCAUGUUCAGUUCUCCAUUUGUACGCCAUGUUGCAAGCAGCCACCAUUUAAACAAGAGAAUGGAGGGAUGUGUUUUGGGCUCCAGUGGAGGAGAGUGUGAGCGGAUAAAAACCUUGCCCUUCUGUUGCAACCGAAAGCAGUUGAAGAGAUUUCCAGAGAAAUGGAAAGGGCCACUGGAAGACUUUUAGACUUUGCAUGUGAUGGAAAUGAUUAGUGAGGGUGAACCUCUGACAAUGAUGUGUCAGGUGACCAAGUUCCAAGACGAAUGAAGGGAAGGACCAAGUUCUCUUGUUGAAUAAAUUUUAACCCUUUGGAAAAACCUCUUCUUGUUCAACAUCAAGUCCUAUUUAUACAGACAUUCGAAUAAAGUGUAUCUACUGAUGAAUAUA